AUUCGGGCAGCGGCUCCGCCAGCCGAGCGAGAGUGACCAGCGCAGGGAAAACAGCAGUCCAGGACGGACACCAGCCCCCUGAGGGACCAAGGCGAAACGACCGGAUUCUGAAACUCAUUUUUGGCCGCUGAUUUCAAACAAAACAGAACAGUUGAGGGUUUCUAAGUGCCCUCACAGCAAUUCAAUAUUUGAUCCUCCCUCUGGGAAGUGAAUCUGAUCAGGGCCUUCCUUGCUCUCCUCCUCCUCUGUUCUCCAGCCCCUCGAAAGAGCCCACAGAAAGUCCCAAGGGGAGUUUCUUGCUCUUGGAAGUGACUCUGCCUGGGACCCAGAAUCCAGAAAUGAUGCCAGGAUUCUGUGUUCUGGACGCAGAAGCAGGAGGAGGAUGGAGUCUGCUGGGACCUCCCCAUUCUUAGCGUUGGGCCUGAGAAAGGGUUCUCUUGGGCUCCCUCCCCCACCCCCAGCCCCAUGCUCCAGUUUGCUCUCUGCUUAACUUGCUGGAGGAGUUCUGAGGGAUUACUUCCUCCAAGGCAGGGAGAGUUUGGUUUAGGUCCGGAUCUCUCAGUCUAGGCACUAUUGACAUUGUGGGCUGGAAUAUUCUUUGCUGUGGAAGGUGUCCUGUGCAAUGUAGAAUGUUUGGCAGCAUCUCUGGCCUCUAUCCACUAGAUGCCAGUAGCCCCUACCCCAGUUAUGACCAUCAAAAAAUAUAACAAAGCUGAUUCACUUUGUUAUAAAGCAGAAACUAACACACCAUUGUAGAGCAAUUAUACUCCA